GACGAACGCUGGCGGCGUGCUUAACACAUGCAAGUCGAGCGGAGCGGCGAACGGGUGAGUAACGCGUGAGUAACUGCCCCCCUCUCUGGGAGAACAGCUGGAAACGGCUGCUAAUACCGGAUAGUGGGGGAUGACUCGCGUCCUAUUAGCUUGUUGGUGGGGUAGGGGUCUACCAAGGCGACGAUGGGUAGCCGGCCUGAGAGGGCGACCGGCCACAUGGGGAUGAGGUACGGCCCAAGCUCGUACGGGAGGCAGCAGUGGAGAAUAUUGCCCAAUGGUGGAAGCCCUGAUGCAGCAACGCGCGUGCGGGAUGUCGGCCUUCGGGUUGUAAACCGCUUUCAGCCAUGACGCGGUAGUGACAGAAGAAGCACCGGCUAACUACGUGCCAGCAGCCGCGGUAAUAC
rnacentral:rRNA from 1 species